GACGAACGCUGGCGGCGUGCUUAACACAUGCAAGUCGAACGGAAAGGCCCUGCUUUUGUGGGGUGCUCGAGUGGCGAACGGGUGAGUAACACGUGAGUAACCUGCCCUUGACUUUGGGAUAACUUCAGGAAACUGGGGCUAAUACCGGAUAGGAGCUCCUGCUGCAUGGUGGGGGUUGGAAAGUUUCUGCGGUUGGGGAUGGACUCGCGGCUUAUCAGCUUGUUGGUGGGGUAGUGGCUUACCAAGGCUUUGACGGGUAACCGGCCUGAGAGGGUGACCGGCCACAUUGGGACUGAGAUACGGCCCAGACUCCUACGGGAGGCAGCAGUGGGGAAUAUUGCACAAUGGGCGGAAGCCUGAUGCAGCAACGCCGCGUGCGGGAUGACGGCCUUCGGGUUGUAAACCGCUUUCGCCUGUGACGAAGCUGGAGUGACGGUAAUGGGUAAAGAAGCACCGGCUAACUACGUG
rnacentral:rRNA from 1 species